AACGAACGCUGGCGGCAUGCCUAACACAUGCAAGUCGAACGAGACCUUCGGGUCUAGUGUCGCACGGGUGCGUAACGCGUGGGAACCUUCCCUUAGGUUCGGAAUAACUCCCCGAAAGGGGUGCUAAUACCGGAUAAUGUCUUCGGACCAAAGAUUUAUCGCCUUUGGAUGGUCCCGCGUUGGAUUAGCUAGUUGGUAGGGUAAAAGCCUACCAAGGCGACGAUCCAUAGCUGGUCUGAGAGGAUGAUCAGCCACACUGGGACUGAGACACGGCCCAGACUCCUACGGGAGGCAGCAGUGGGGAAUAUUGGAAAAUGGGCGAAAGCAUGAUCCAGCAAUGCCGCGUGAGUGAUGAAGGCCUUAGGGUUGUAAAGCUCUUUUACCCGGGAUGAUAAUGACAGUACCGGGAGAAUAAGCUCCGGCUAACUCCGUG
rnacentral:rRNA from 1 species